rnacentral:rRNA from 1 species
AUGUGCAGGAACCUCUCUUCUAUUUCUUCAAACUUAUGGUGGGGCGAGGCAAAUGGUGAGAAAAGAGUACAUUGGAUUGCAUGGGAUAAAAUGUGCACGAGGAAGUAAGAAGGCAGACUUGGGUUCAGGGAUCCGGAAGCUUUUAAUCAAGCGUUGCUUGCCAAGAAAUGGAGGCUGCUGCAGGUACUGAAUUUGUUGUGUGCAAGAGUGCUUAAGGCGAGGUAUUUCUCGGACGGCUCCAUUCUCAAUGCCACUUGCCCCGACGGGGGCUCCUUCACGUUCAAGAGCAUUCUGCAUGGCCGAGACCUCGUCCAGGAUGGGCUCAUUUGGCGCAUUAGAGAUGGAUCCCAUGUUCGUAUUCACCAUGAUAACUGGAUACCCCGCAAAGGAAGCCUGAAGCCACUGGGCCAGGUGUUUGUUCUAGGCACGACAAUAGUAAGUCACUUACGGAAUGAUACUAACUCAAGUUGGGGUCAAGAAAAGGUGCAGAACAUGUUCCCACCAGCGGAAGCGCGUGAGAUCUUGCAAAUACCUGUGGGGGGGGGGGGCGAUGAUGGAGGACUAUCUUGCAUGGAAUCAUACGGAGAAUGGAGUUUUUACAGUCAGAUCGGCCUACCACCUUUGCAUGGAUCAGAAGCGGGCCAAAACUGGCAGGUCGGGGUCAUCAUCUUCGGUUGUGAAUCAUAG